AGCUGCCACAAGUGCUGCAUGGCUGUCGUCAGCUCGUGCCGUCGAGGUGUUGGGUUAAGUCCCGCAACGAGCGCAACCCUCAUUGCCAGUUGAUUUCUCUGGCGAGACUGCCCGCAAAACGGGGAGGAAGGUGGGGAUGACGUCAAGUCAGCAUGGCCCUUAUGCCCUGGGCUACACACACGCUACAAUGGACGGGUACAAUUGGUUGCAAUAGCGCGAGCUGGAGCUAAUCCGAAAAGCCGUUCUCAGUUCGGAUUGCAGGCUGAAACCCGCCUGCAUGAAGUUGGAGUUGCUAGUAAUCGCAGGUCAGUAUACUGCGGUGAAUACGUUCUCGGGGCUU
rnacentral:rRNA from 1 species